GACGAACGCUGGCGGCGUGCUUAACACAUGCAAGUCGAACGGAAAGGCCCGGCUUUUGUGGGGUGCCCGAGUGGCGACCGGGUGAGUAACACUUGAGUACCCUGCCCUUGCCUUUGGGUUAACUUCAGAAAACUGGGGCUAUUACCGGAUAGGAGCUCCUGCUGCUGGGUGGGGGUUGGAAAGUUUCGGCGGUUGGGGAUGGACUCGCGGCUUAUCGGCUUGUUGGUGGGGUAGUGGCUUACCAAGGCUUUGACGGGUAGCCGGCCUGAGAGGGUGACCGGCCACAUUGGGACUGAGAUACGGCCCAGACUCCUACGGGAGGCAGCAGUGGGGAAUAUUGCACAAUGGGCGGAAGCCUGAUGCAGCAACGCCGCGUGCGGGAUGACGGCCUUCGGGUUGUAAACCGCUUUCGCCUGUGACGAAGCGUGAGUGACGGUAAUGGGUAAAGAAGCACCGGCUAACUACGUG
rnacentral:rRNA from 1 species